GGCUCCGGUCUCCUCCCGUACCAACCCGGCUAUGAAGGAGCCUCGAUGCAGGGAGCCCAUUGGAUCAGUACCGGAGCACGGCUGCGGCACACCGGCCUCGCUACAGAAGGGAAGGAGGGGGUUGAAGCAUGAGGAAAUGAAGUUAUCUCCAUGAACAUGAAAAGCCACUGCAGCCACUGAAUUGUUCUACAAUUAAAGGAAAGCCCAGAGAAAAAUCAAAGCCAGCUGUCUAAAGAGCACCUGUAAUGUCUGCAAGGACGGCCAGACUGAUUCUGCAAUGAAACAGGCCCACACAGAGCUCUCCUACUUCAACAGCGACCCGUCUGCUCGUACUCACUGCAGCCAGGCCUUCAGCCCGUUCUACCUAAAUCUUCAGGAUUUACCGACUCCUCCAGCCCAGCAGAACGGG